GCGCGCGUAGCUCAGUUGGUAGAGCAUACGACUGAUACUCGUAGGGUCCCAGGUUCGAAUCCUGGCGCGCGCA
rnacentral:tRNA from 1 species